CAGUAGCCGCGGGAAUACAGAGGGUGCGAGCGUUAAUCGGAUUUACUGGGCGUAAAGCGUGCGUAGGCGGCUAAUUGAGUCGGAUGUGAAAUCCCCGAGCUUAACUUGGGAAUUGCAUUCGAUACUGGUUAGCUAGAGUGUGGGAGAGGAUGGUAGAAUUCCAGGUGUAGCGGUGAAAUGCGUAGAGAUCUGGAGGAAUACCGAUGGCGAAGGCAGCCAUCUGGCCUAAUACUGACGCUGAGGUACGAAAGCAUGGGGAGCAAACAGGAUUAGAUACCCGUGUAGUCCCUGUCUCUUAUAC
rnacentral:rRNA from 1 species